GCCCUCGCGAUAGCCACGUCGGCAAGCUACGAGACAAGCGACUGUGCAGCGCUGGGAGAAAAAGAAAAGGAAACCUAGCCCCGCACGCUUCUUCGCCACACUGCCAAUCCCCUCUUCGCUCGUCUCCUUCUCUCCCUGGUCCUGCGCCGCCGGCUCAGCCACCUCCUCUCCCGCUUCCCUCCUCCUAUCUCAGUCCUCGUCCAGAUCGGCGUCCAGCGCAGGAAGAUCGGGGUGGUCGUGGCGGCGGCAUCUUCAGCGGCGUCGCCGGACGAGCUCCACGCGCCGGGGAGAUAUCUCCAAGGUCCCGCGCCACCACGUCCCCUAGCCGACGUUGGCCUCACCACAAAAGACGUCUAGCCCGCCCGUGCCGCCGGUCAAUUUGUCUUUGGAGGUCUCGGAGCCUCCGGAGUCGCCGUCGCUGUACGGAGACGAGUCGGCGGGGGGAUGAUGGUGUUGGGGUCAGGAGGGGAAAGGCGUCGCCGAUGAUGAUGUGGAGGAGGACGAGGUCGACGCCCCUCUGCCCUGCCGUGAAUCGGUGGCGACUACAGCGUGGGCGUGGUGAAGCGGCGGGCGGCGUGCGCGUCAGUGCCCCCGCGCCCCGGCCGGUGCGGACUGUGACUGCGCGUAGGGUACCAGCAGCAACUUGCUCAAGCCGCCGGGCGGACUGCCUGCCUGAUUGUGUCAAGUGCUAUAAUUGAUAAAUAUAUCGGAGAAACUGCGCUUUUAAUCAGAGAAAUGUUCGGCUAUGCACGCGAUCACCAAUUGUUAUUUCUAGCCAUGCAUUAUCUUCAUGGAUGAAAUCGAUGCAAUUGGUGAGAGAAGAUUUAGUGAGGGAACUAGUGAUGACCGUGAGAUCCAACGGACACUGAUGGGGCUUCUUAUUCGGUUAGAUGGAUUUCAUGAUCUUGGCAAGGUAAACUAACAUCAUCAAGUUUUUUUUUUCCUUAGAUGCCUUUAUGCCAUAUAUGCAGAGGAAUGGAUUCAAUCGAAGUAAGUUGUUUGCCUGAAUGUGUGUGUGUGUGUGUAGAUUAAAUUUUUCGCUCAUCUUUGCUUCAUUGCUUCUAUGAAUUUUCUUGAUGCGGAUUUUCCUAACAUUUUAUUUAACUCCCUUUUCUAACAUUACACAUUUUUGCUCUCGGGGAAAGUAUAGGUGUUUUGACAUAAAUUUUGUUCAUAUUUUCUUCAGUGCUUCUAUGAAUUUUCUGGAUGCUGAUUCGCGUAACAUUUUAUUUAACUCUCUUUUCUAGCAUUAUACAUUUUUUAGAAGGAAAAAAAUUGAGGACUAUAGGUUCUGUUCUAUCUGAUUGUUGACAUGCUAACAUAAUUGCCUGAUUGUCUGAUAGGCUUAUGAUUUCUUUCUAACUGGGCUUGUUUUGUUUUAUUUUGGGAAAACCCCAUGAUUUUAUCCUAACCUGAUACAUCAUGAUCAGUGAUGUCGACAUGAAUUUUGCAGAUUAAAUUAGUGUGAUGGUACAAUUACCAACAUUCAUCGGAUGCCACAAUCAGGGGCGGACCUACAUUGAGCUACAUACACAACAUUGCACUCAGAAUUUAUGCUUCUCUUCAUGGUGACUCAGCUUUGAGUGCCUCCACGUUUGAAGAUGAUCUCACAGGAAACAUGAAUUGAAUGAUGAUAGUACAGAUCCAAAACAUUGAAUUGAAUUGAAUGAUGAUAGUACAGGAAACAGGAACGAUCGAUAUAUUGUUAAAAGAAUGAAAGUAUGCCCUGCCUGAAGAUUUUAGCUUUCUUUUUCUUAAGAAGGUAGAAGGUUUCUGCCUGUUAACAUCAAUAUAAUUUCUAUGAUCUGCUACCCUUGUAUGUUUUCUCUUUGGUUAGACAAGAAGCUAUUGACGUUGGUCAGUAGAUCUCUCUUAAGUUCCAGAUGUGGAUGAAAUGCUUCUUUCUAGAUGUUUAGUCCGUCAAGUAGUUUGAACUGAUUUGGCUCCCAAUCCGCUUUUAGCUCUAAUGAUUUGGAUUACUGGAUUUGGCCUGCUUUAUGGUCAUUGAUUAACAAGGUUUUCAGUUGUA